rnacentral:rRNA from 1 species
CACGUAGGUGGCAAGCGUUGUCCGGAAUUAUUGGGCGUAAAGCGCGCGCAGGCGGUCCUUUAAGUCUGAUGUGAAAGCCCACGGCUCAACCGUGGAGGGUCAUUGGGAACUGGGGGACUUGAGUACAGAAGAGAAGAGUGGAAUUCCACGUGUAGCGGUGAAAUGCGUAGAGAUGUGGAGGAACACCAGUGGCGAAGGCGACUCUUUGGUCUGUAACUGACGCUGAGGCGCGAAAGCGUGGGGAGCAAACAGG